rnacentral:rRNA from 1 species
GUGAACGAGCGACGCCGCGUGGAGGAUGAAGGCCUUUGGGUUGUAAACUCCUGUCGAGGGGGAACAAGGGACGUUGUAGAGACGUUCUUGAGUGAUCCCUGGAGGAAGCACGGGCUAAGUUCGUGCCAGCAGCCGCGGUAAGACGAACCGUGCGAACGUUAUUCGGAAUCACUGGGCUUAAAGCGCGUGUAGGCGGAUUUGGCGCGUCGAGAGUUGAAAGCCCCCGGCUCAACCGGGGAAUUGGCAUCGAAACGGCCAGUCUUGAGGGAGGUAGGGGGAGCCGGAACUUCCGGUGGAGCGGUGAAAUGCGUUGAGAUCGGAAGGAACGCCCGUGGCGAAAGCGGGCUCCUGGACCUCACCUGACGCUGAGACGCGAAAGCUAGGGUAGCGAACGGGAUUAGAUACCCCGGUAGUCCUAGCCGUAAACCAU